GUCAUGGGAAGAACCCUGGGGGAGGUAACCGAAUCGGGGGGGUCAGGUCUUUCCAGUGCUGUUCUCGUGAUGGUGAAUAAGUCUCAUAAGUCUCAUGAGAUUUGAUGGUUUUAUAAAGGGGAGUUGUCCUGCACACGCUGUCUUGUCUGCCACCAAGGAAGCCGUGACUUUGCUCCUCAUUCACCUUCUACCAUGAUUGUGAGGCCUCUCCUGCCACGUGGAGCUCAUAUCCAUCUGAUCUUCAACAUGCCUGACAAAAACAAGCCAUGGAGAAAGGAUUCUCUAGUUAAUAAACGGUGCUGGGAGAACUGGCCAGCCAUAUGCAGAAAAUUAAAACUAGACUCUUUAUCUAACACCUUAUACAAAAAUUAACUCAAGACUGAUUACAGACUUAAAUGAAAAACCCCUAACUAUAAAAACCCUGGAAAAAAAUCUAAGCAAUGCCGUUCAGGACACAGGCACAGGCAAAGAUUGCCUGACAAAAACACCAGAAGCAAUUGAAACAAAAGCAAAAAUUGACAAAUGGGAUCUAAUUAAAGUAAAGCGCUUCUGCACAGCAAAAGAAACUAUCAUCAGAGUGAACAGGCAACCUACAGAAUGGGAGAAAAUGUUUGCAAUCUAUCCAUCUGAUAAAGGUUUAAUAUCCCAAAUCUACAAGGAACUGAAAUUUAUGAAGAAAAACAACCCCAUUAAAAAGUGGGCAAAGGACAUGAACAGACACUUCUCAAAAGAAGACAUUUAUGCGGCCAAGAAACAUAUGAUUAAAAAGCUCAACAUUACUAUCAAAGAGAAAUGCAAAUCAAAACCACAAUGAGAUACCAUCUCAGUAUCGGCCAGUCUGGAUGGUGAUUAUUAAAACAUCAAGGAACAGCAGAUGCUGGCAAGGUUGGGAAGAAAAAGGAACACUUUUAUACUGUUUGUGGAAAUGUAAAUUAAUUCAAUCAUCGUGGAAGACAGUGUGGCGAUUCCUCAAAGACCUAGACCCAGAAAUACCACUUGACCCAGCAAUCCUAAUACUGGGUAUUACCCAAAGGAAUAGAAAUCCUUUCAUUAUAAAGAUACAUGCUUGUGUAUGUUCACUGCAGCACUAUUCACAAUAGCAAAGACAUGGAAUCAACCCAAAUGCCCUUCAAUGAUAGACUGGAUAAAGAAAAUGUAGUACAUAUACACCACGGAAUACUAUGCAGCCAUAAAAAGGAAUGAAAUCAUGUCCUUUGCAGGGAUAUGGAUGAAGUCAGAAGCCAUUAUCCUCAACGAACUAAUGCAGGAAAAGGAAACCAAACAUUGCAUGUCCUCACUUACAAAUGGGGACUGAAAAAUGAGAAUCCAUGGACACAUGGUGGGGGAACAAUACACACUGGGGCCUGUCAGGGGGUGGGGAAGGGGUGGAAAAGCACUAAGAAGAAUAGUAAAUGGAUGCUGGGCUUAAUCCCUAGGUGAUGGGAUUAUCUGUGCAGCAAACCACCAUGGCACACGUUUAUCUGUGUAACAAAUUUGCGUAUCCUGCACGUAUACCCUAGAACUUAAAAUAUAAGUUGAUAAAAUAAAAUUUAAAAAUGUGGUGUACACAAAAAAUGAUUAAAGCACCAUAUUCACUGGUUUCUAAGACAAGAAUUAUCUUCGAAAAUAUCAAAAGAAUUAACCUAUAGGUUACAAUAUACUUCUGCCCUAACCUGUUCUGGUAGACACAGGUUUGUUGUUUAUAAUGAAUGUAAACUUAUCAUCUUACCUCCAAAAUUUUGAGACAUAGCAUAAGCACCAUUUCACUGUUCAUUGAUGAGAAUAGUACACUUUUUAUGUUAAAAGUCUCUUCCUGUGUCAUUUACCCAGUAUGAUCUCACUGUACCAUAUGUAGAAAUCAUCAUUAAAUUUAUGAUUCUAUUAUUAAAUCAAUGUUUAUUAUAUUCUCUGUGUUUUUGUACCCUAUUGCUCAGAUUAUGUAAUUUGAUGACAGGGUCCAUGUUACACUUUUGGUAUGUGUCCUUACCACCUAGAAGAUAUAUAAUAAAUAUGUUAAAUAUUAAAUGAACACAAUUCAGACUCUUAUUGUGAUUACUUUUCA
rnacentral:lncRNA from 10 species